GACGAACGCUGGCGGCGUGCUUAACACAUGCAAGUCGAACGGAAAGGCCCUGCUUUUGUGGGUUUCUCGUUUGGCGAACGCGUGAGUAACACGUGAGUAACCUGCCCCUGUCUUUGUGAUAUCUUCACGAAACUGGGUCUCAUACCCGAUAUGAUCUCCUGCUCCAUGGUGGUCGUUGGUAAAUUUCGGCGGUUGGGGAUCGUCUCGCUGCUUAUCAGCUUGUUUGUGGGGUUGUGGCUUACCAAGGUUUUGACGGGUAGCCGGCCUGAGAGGGUGACCGGCGACAUUGCGACUGAGAUACGGACCAGAAGCCUAUGGGAGGCAGCAGUGGGAAAUAUUGCAGAAUAGGGGGAAGCGUGAUACAGAAACGCCGGGUGCGGGAUGAUGGCCUUCGAGUUGUAAACCGCUUUGGACGGUGACGAAGAGUGAGUGACGGUAAUGGGUAAGGAAGCAACGGCUAACUACGUG
rnacentral:rRNA from 1 species